AAGAUUAUACUUUCAGGAUAAUUUCUAUAGUUUGUUCCUAGAGAAGUCUCAGACAAUGCAGAGUACUGAGUUCACUAGGAGGUGGUGCGUGUUCCCUACUGAGCAAGAGGCUGGCUCUUGGUGCUGUCUCACUGCAACGGCCAUUUGCCAUUGAUUAUGGCUCUUCCCUUCCUCCAAGAGGGACAGAGAAGGAGCAUGAGGUCUGAGUGGC
rnacentral:snoRNA from 1 species